GCAGUCAUGGCCGAGUGGUUAAGGCGAUGGACUAGAAAUCCCCCAUUGGGGUCUCCCCGCACAAAUUCGAAUCCUGUCGACUGCG
rnacentral:tRNA from 1 species